GGCUCGGGCCCGAAGUGGACGCUCGGGGCCCGACGAGGUCGCUGGGGCGGGCUGACCGCGCCCUUUCCUCGCAGUACAUCGCGGUGCACGUGGUCCCGGACCAGCUUAUGGCCUUCGGCGGCUCCAGCGAGCCGUGCGCGCUCUGCAGCCUGCACAGCAUCGGCAAGAUCGGCGGCGCGCAGAACCGCUCCUACAGCAAGCUGCUGUGCGGCCUGCUGGCCGAGCGCCUGCGCAUCAGCCCGGACAGGGUCUACAUCAACUAUUACGACAUGAACGCGGCCAAUGUGGGCUGGAACAACUCCACCUUCGCCUAAGAGCCAAAGGGACCCACGCUGUCUGCGCUGGCUCCACCCGGGAACCCGCCGCACGCUGUGUUCUAGGCCCGCCCACCCCAACCUUCUGGUGGGGAGAAAUAAACGGUUUAGAGACUAGGAG
rnacentral:sRNA from 1 species